rnacentral:rRNA from 1 species
AGGAUUKCCCUAGUAGCGGCGAGCGAACCGGAAAGAGCYCAGCUUGAAAAUCKSGCGGCCUCGCCGUGCGAAUUGUARUCUGGAGAAGMGKCCUCUGCAGCGGACCGGGCCCAAGUUCCCUGGAACGGGACGUCAKAGAGGGUGAGAGCCCCGUCKAGCUCGGACCCUGCUGCUCCACGAGGCGCUGUCAACGAGUCSGGCUGUUUGGGAAUGCAGCCCUAAGUGGGUGGUAAAUUCCAUCCAAGGCUAAAUACGGGCAAGAGACCGAUAGCGAACAAGUACCGCGAGGGAAAGAUGAAAAGGACUUUGAAAAGAGAGUUAAAAAGUGCUUGAAAUUGCUGGGAGGGAAGCGAAUGGAGGUUGCGUGUGCGCCCCGGUUGGAUGCGGAACGGCGAGAGCUGGUCCGCCGCUCAACGCGGAGUGCUGGUCAGCGUGGGCUGCGCCGGCGGGACAAGAGCGAACUUGCGUCGCUCGCCUAUGCCGUUGGCGUGGCCGAGGAACGAAGCGCGCGCCUUUUGGCGGCCCCUCGGGGACCUGCGUGCUCGGGACGCUGGCGUAUUGAACUUUCCAUCCGACCCGUCUUGAAACACGGACCAAGGAGUCUAACAUGUAUGCGAGCCGGUGGGUGGCAAACCCACGGAGGCGAAAGUAACCUGACAGGUGGGAUCCUCCUCGAGAGGUGCACCAUCGACCGACCAUGAUCUUCUGUGAAAGGUUCGAGUGAGAGCAUACAUGCUGG